AAACUUCGGGGCUCACAAAGUUCACUGCAAUCGUCACACGGCCUCCGUUUGCGAAAGGGGGACGCUUUUCAGACGCAGCGAAGGAACAACGAAGAAGCUUAUUCACGUAGUUGUGAGCCCUUCGCGGAGGCCCUGUCAAAGAAGGCGAGGUGCAGAAGCGAAUCAAGUGUUUGACGAGGACUUGUGGUGGUGUAGGGGUCCGAGCUGGACGCCGAGGGCAGCCUGCAAAAAAUGACUAUGCCUGACUCCGAUGAGGGGUCACGAUAACAUGAAAAUUUGUUGCAUGCCUGGGGCAUGCCUACAGAGAAAACAUUCAUGUGACGAGUGACGUGAAAGACAGAGAAAGUUUCGGAAAUAAAGGUGACUGCGCUUGAGAA